UACGUAGGCAGCGAGCGUUGUUCGGAGUUACUGGGCGUAAAGGGUGUGUAGGCGGUUGUUUAAGUUUGGUGUGAAAUCUCCCGGCUCAACUGGGAGGGUGCGCCGAAUACUGAAUGACUUGGAGUGCGGGAGAGGAAAGUGGAAUUCCUGGUGUAGCGGUGAAAUGCGUAGAUAUCAGGAGGAACACCAGUGGCGAAAGCGGCUUCCUGGUCCGACACCGACGUUCAGGCACGAAGGCGUGGGGAGCAAACAGG
rnacentral:rRNA from 1 species